rnacentral:rRNA from 1 species
UGGGGAAUUUUGGACAAUGGGCGAAAGCCUGAUCCAGCAAUGCCGCGUGUGUGAAGAAGGCCUUCGGGUUGUAAAGCACUUUUGUCCGGAAAGAAAUCCUUGGCUCUAAUACAGUCGGGGGAUGACGGUACCGGAAGAAUAAGCACCGGCUAACUACGUGCCAGCAGCCGCGGUAAUACGUAGGGUGCAAGCGUUAAUCGGAAUUACUGGGCGUAAAGCGUGCGCAGGCGGUUUGCUAAGACCGAUGUGAAAUCCCCGGGCUCAACCUGGGAACUGCAUUGGUGACUGGCAGGCUAGAGUAUGGCAGAGGGGGGUAGAAUUCCACGUGUAGCAGUGAAAUGCGUAGAGAUGUGGAGGAAUACCGAUGGCGAAGGCAGCCCCCUGGGCCAAUACUGACGCUCAUGCACGAAAGCGUGGGGAGCAAACAGGAUUAGAUACCCUGGUAGUCCACGCCCUAAACGAUGUCAACUAGUUGUUGGGGAUUCAUUUUCCUUAGUAACGUAGCUAACGCGUGAAGUUGACCGCCUGGGGAGUACGGUCGCAAGAUUAAAACUCAAAGGAAUCGACGGGGUCAUAGCUGUUUCCU